AACGAACGCUGGCGGCAUGCCUAACACAUGCAAGUCGAACGAGACCUUCGGGUCUAGUGGCGCACGGGUGCGUAACGCGCGGGAACCUGCCCUUAGGUUCGGAAUAACUCCCCGAAAGGGGUGCUAAUACCGGGUAAUGUCUUCGGACCAAAGAUUUAUCGCCUUUGGAUGGGCCCGCGUUGGAUUAGCUAGUUGGUAGGGUAAAAGCCUACCAAGGCGACGAUCCAUAGCUGGUCUGAGAGGAUGAUCAGCCACACUGGGACUGAGACACGGCCCAGACUCCUACGGGAGGCAGCAGUGGGGAAUAUUGGACAAUGGGCGAAAGCCUGAUCCAGCAAUGCCGCGUGAGUGAUGAAGGCCUUAGGGUUGUAAAGCUCUUUUACCCGGGAUGAUAAUGACAGUACCGGGAGAAUAAGCUCCGGCUAACUCCGUG
rnacentral:rRNA from 1 species